GAUGAACGCUGGCGGCGUGCCUAACACAUGCAAGUCGAACGAGGUAUUUUGAUUGAAGUUUUCGGAUGGAUUUCAAGAUACCGAGUGGCGGACGGGUGAGUAACGCGUGGGUAACCUGCCUCAUACAGGGGGAUAACGGUUAGAAAUGACUGCUAAUACCGCAUAAGCGCACAGUACCGCAUGGUACGGUGUGAAAAACUCCGGUGGUAUGAGAUGGACCCGCGUCUGAUUAGCUAGUUGGUGGGGUAACGGCCCACCAAGGCGACGAUCAGUAGCCGACCUGAGAGGGUGAUCGGCCACAUUGGGACUGAGACACGGCCCAGACUCCUACGGGAGGCAGCAGUGGGGGAUAUUGCACAACGGAGGAAACUCUGAUGCAGCGACGCCGCGUGAGUGAAGAAGUAUUUCGGUAUGUAAAGCUCUAUCAGCAGGGAAGAAAAUGACGGUACCUGACUAAGAAGCCCCGGCUAACUACGUGCCAGCCGCCGCUGUAA
rnacentral:rRNA from 1 species